CAACUGCGAUAGCUGCAGAUUAAAUGAGUAUAAAUAAAUAAAUGUACAAACAUAUAUACAAAGUGCAAAUGUUGAUAAGCUCGGCAACAACAACAGCAACAACAACAGCAGCUGCCAAAUUAAUUACAGAGCGCUGCUUGAAACGGAUGAACGGAUUGAUGGAGCUACCAAAAGGAAGAAAGAGUUGCGCCUGGGAGUUAAGAAGGGGGGAGGUGCGAAGUGGAGUGGAGAGCAGGAAAACCAAGGGGAACGAAUGGGAGCAAAACCAACAAAACGCAAUGAUUGCGAGCUUUGAGCUCAGAAAGGCGUUAACCAGCCACGCCCAUUUGUCGGAUUUUCUCUACAAACGGAGCAAAUAUGUAAUGCUCGACUAGCAGAUGACCUGUUGUUUUGAGGUUUGUGAAGAUCCUUCUUCCACUUCUUCUUCUUCUUCUUCUUCUUCUUCUUGGAGGAUCAACAAACAGCUGCUACGUCCUUUGUCUCAUCGAGUCCUUUGUCUGCGUUUUGCUUUCAAAAAGUUGUCGAUCAUCAGGCGAGGCGUUGACAAUGAAAGCAUUGGGAAUGGAAAAUAAACUGACAAUGGAAAUAUUGUAUGUAUGUAUUUAUAGGUAUGUAAUACGUACUGAAGCUUUAAGUUCACAAUUUAUCAAUAAGAAAUUAAAUAUUCACACAAAUUUCUAAAAUAAAUUAAUUGCAUUUUUUA